AUUUUUCAGGUGAAAAGUGACAUGGAAUCUGAAAAUUUCAGCUAUUUGGAAAGGAAUCCCAAGAAAGAGCUGAAGCAAAUGAAAUUGCUGUUUUGUGGAUCAAACGUGGAAUUAAAGGCUCACACAACUGUGGAAAGGUUAAACAGCCACCUAAGAUCACUGGCGAUGGAUGCUGGCUAACAAGUGGGGAAGCAACAUCUAUGAGAUGCUUUGGCGACUCCUAAAACUGUUCUCACACUGCAGACGCAGCCACCAAUUAAACACACACACGAGAAAUGUGUGUAUGAGUAUUGUUAUCAUUGUCUUUUGGAGGUAGUGUUUUACACCCAGUAAGUUACCUCUGGGAAAAAUACUGCUUACAUCAUAGUAAAUGUGGAGUGGAAUAUGUUUACUCAGGACUUUUUUUGAGAUUUUCAUUUCGUAUGUUUAAUUAAAACAGAAUUUAAAGACUGGGGAUGUUGUUAAAAUAUUGUUUCAGGUUGAUGCAAGAACAUUCUAGUGCUAUUACGGUAACUCCAACUGCUGACUGGUUUUAUUUAAUCAUAAAGAUCUUAUAUCUCAAAAGAAA